rnacentral:lncRNA from 1 species
AUGGUCCUGCAGCAGCAAGGAUGGAGCCUGGGGAUCAGCACUGACAGAAAAUGGAUUUUGGAGGGCUGGAAAGGUGCCUGGGGGGCACAGCCCUGCUGUCUGAAAGCCUUCUCUCACGCUCCUCCUCGGGAAACAGCUUGCCCAAGGCAGAUUUGCCAGCCUGGAGAGGGGAAAGGCACAGACACUGCUGAAGAUGGAGCUGCUUGGAAAAUUGGGCAUGCAAGUUUGCAAGGGCUGGAGAGUAGCCAGUGCCAGUCCCCCAGAGGAGGGGCAGUGCUGAGAGUAUCCUCCUGUGAGGCUGUGAUUCCUGCUGGCCUUCUGCCCCUGCUCCAUUUGCCAUUAGAUGCUCCUGGUGGCCAGAAGGAAGAUUUUGAAGCUUGGCACAUGGGUGGGAAAGCCUGGAGUGGGCACAGGCAGCUUGGAACCCACCCUCGCUGUGCAAACAGAGGUGUUUUCACUUUCUCAGAGCUCCCAGCCCUUCCCAGAGUCUUCCUCAGAGAGUGGCUGGGUUUGGAAUAUGGGGACAGCACUGUUCCUGCAUCAGAGACAGGGCUAAAAAGGCAAGAAAAGCAACAAAUGAAAAGGGGGGUGAGCACUGGCACAGGGUGCCCAGAGCAGCUGUGGCUGCCCCUGGAUCCCUGGGAGUGUCCAAGGCCAGGCUGGACACUGGAGCAGCCUGGGACAGUGGAGGGUGUCCCUGCCCAUGGCAGGGGGUGGAACUGGAUGGGCUCUGUACUCCAUUCCAACCCAAACUAUUCUGGGAUCCCAUGGAAAACAAAGCCUGGCUAUUCUGCCACAAAGGUGGGCAGGCAUGGAAAUGUGCCCCCAACCUUUUGGAUCACUUCCCUUCUUCAAGGCAGGUGUUGUUUUGUAUUCUGCUCCCUUCCACCUCCUCUCUCCUGCCCUAGCACAGGGAGAGCUCCUGAAAUAGCUGCUCCUGAGCCGCUUUAUUUCGGAUGCAAAUCAUUGGUAUUCUGCAAGAAGAGCUCUCUAUCCUGCCAGACCUGUUCCAGCUGA